rnacentral:rRNA from 1 species
ACGAGUGGCGGACGGGUGAGUAAUGUCUGGGAAACUGCCUGAUGGAGGGGGAUAACUACUGGAAACGGUGGCUAAUACCGCAUAACGUCGCAAGACCAAAGAGGGGGACCUUCGGGCCUCUUGCCAUCAGAUGUGCCCAGAUGGGAUUAGCUAGUUGGUGAGGUAACGGCUCACCAAGGCGACGAUCCCUAGCUGGUCUGAGAGGAUGACCAGCCACACUGGAACUGAGACACGGUCCAGACUCCUACGGGAGGCAGCAGUGGGGAAUAUUGCACAAUGGGCGCAAGCCUGAUGCAGCCAUGCCGCGUGUAUGAAGAAGGCCUUCGGGUUGUAAAGUACUUUCAGCGGGGAGGAAGGUGUUGUGGUUAAUAACCGCAGCAAUUGACGUUACCCGCAGAAGAAGCACCGGCUAACUCCGUGCCAGCAGCCGCGGUAAUACGGAGGGUGCAAGCGUUAAUCGGAAUUACUGGGCGUAAAGCGCACGCAGGCGGUCUGUCAAGUCGGAUGUGAAAUCCCCGGGCUCAACCUGGGAACUGCAUUCGAAACUGGCAGGCUUGAGUCUUGUAGAGGGGGGUAGAAUUCCAGGUGUAGCGGUGAAAUGCGUAGAGAUCUGGAGGAAUACCGGUGGCGAAGGCGGCCCCCUGGACAAAGACUGACGCUCAGGUGCGAAAGCGUGGGGAGCAAACAGGAUUAGAUACCCUGGUAGUCCACGCCGUAAACGAUGUCUACUUGGAGGUUGUGCCCUUGAGGCGUGGCUUCCGGAGCUAACGCGUUAAGUAGACCGCCUGGGGAGUACGGCCGCAAGGUUAAAACUCAAAUGAAUUGACGGGGGCCCGCACAAGCGGUGGAGCAUGUGGUUUAAUUCGAUGCAACGCGAAGAACCUUACCUGGUCUUGACAUCCACAGAAGAAUCCAGAGAUGGAUUUGUGCCUUCGGGAACUGUGAGACAGGUGCUGCAUGGCUGUCGUCAGCUCGUGUUGUGAAAUGUUGGGUUAAGUCCCGCAACGAGCGCAACCCUUAUCCUUUGUUGCCAGCGGUCCGGCCGGGAACUCAAAGGAGACUGCCAGUGAUAAACUGGAGGAAGGUGGGGAUGACGUCAAGUCAUCAUGGCCCUUACGACCAGGGCUACACACGUGCUACAAUGGCGCAUACAAAGAGAAGCGACCUCGCGAGAGCAAGCGGACCUCAUAAAGUGCGUCGUAGUCCGGAUUGGAGUCUGCAACUCGACUCCAUGAAGUCGGAAUCGCUAGUAAUCGUGGAUCAGAAUGCCACGGUGAAUACGUUCCCGGGCCUUGUACACACCGCCCGUCACACCAUGGGAGUGGGUUGCAAAAGAAGUAGGUAGCUUAACCUUCGGGAGGGCGCUUACCACUUUGUGAUUCAUGACUGGGGUGAAGUCGUAACAAGGUAACCGUAGGGGAACCUGCGGUUGGAUCACCUCCUUACCUUAAAGAA